GAUGAACGCUGGCGGCGUGCCUAAUACAUGCAAGUCGAGCGAACAGACGAGGAGCUUGCUCCUCUGACGUUAGCGGCGGACGGGUGAGUAACACGUGGAUAACCUACCUAUAAGACUGGGAUAACUUCGGGAAACCGGAGCUAAUACCGGAUAAUAUAUUGAACCGCAUGGUUCAAUAGUGAAAGACGGUUUUGCUGUCACUUAUAGAUGGAUCCGCGCCGCAUUAGCUAGUUGGUAAGGUAACGGCUUACCAAGGCGACGAUGCGUAGCCGACCUGAGAGGGUGAUCGCCCCAACGGGAACGGGAACACGGUCCAGACCCCCAGGGGGGGCAGCAGUAGGGAAUCUUCCGCAAGGGGCAAAAGCCUGACGGGGCAACGCCGCGGGAGUGAUAAAGGUCUUCGGAUCGUAAAACUCUGUUAUUAGGAAAAAACAAAUGUGUAAGUAACUAUGCCCGUCUUGACGGUACCUAAUCAAAAAGCCCCGGCUAACUACGU
rnacentral:rRNA from 1 species